rnacentral:rRNA from 1 species
AUGAAGCCCAGCUUGCUGGGUGGAUUAGUGGCGAACGGGUGAGUAACACGUGAGUAACCUGCCCUUAACUCUGGGAUAAGCCUGGGAAACUGGGUCUAAUACCGGAUAGGAGCGUCCACCGCAUGGUGGGUGUUGGAAAGAUUUAUCGGUUUUGGAUGGACUCGCGGCCUAUCAGCUUGUUGGUGAGGUAAUGGCUCACCAAGGCGACGACGGGUAGCCGGCCUGAGAGGGUGACCGGCCACACUGGGACUGAGACACGGCCCAGACUCCUACGGGAGGCAGCAGUGGGGAAUAUUGCACAAUGGGCGCAAGCCUGAUGCAGCGACGCCGCGUGAGGGAUGACGGCCUUCGGGUUGUAAACCUCUUUCAGUAGGGAAGAAGCGAAAGUGACGGUACCUGCAGAAGAAGCACCGGCUAACUACGUGCCAGCAGCCGCGGUAAUACGUAGGGUGCGAGCGUUAUCCGGAAUUAUUGGGCGUAAAGAGCUCGUAGGCGGUUUGUCGCGUCUGUCGUGAAAGUCCGGGGCUUAACCCCGGAUCUGCGGUGGGUACGGGCAGACUAGAGUGCAGUAGGGGAGACUGGAAUUCCUGGUGUAGCGGUGGAAUGCGCAGAUAUCAGGAGGAACACCGAUGGCGAAGGCAGGUCUCUGGGCUGUAACUGACGCUGAGGAGCGAAAGCAUGGGGAGCGAACAGGAUUAGAUACCCUGGUAGUCCAUGCCGUAAACGUUGGGCACUAGGUGUGGGG